rnacentral:rRNA from 1 species
AUUGAACGCUGGCGGCAGGCCUAACGCAUGCAAGUCGAACGGUAACAGGAAGAAGCUUGCUUCUUUGCUGACGAGUGGCGGACGGGUGAGUAAUGUCUGGGAAACUGCCUGAUGGAGGGGGAUAACUACUGGAAACGGUAGCUAAUACCGCAUAACGUCGCAAGACCAAAGAGGGGGACCUUCGGGCCUCUUGCCAUCGGAUGUGCCCAGAUGGGAUUAGCUAGUAGGUGGGGUAACGGCUCACCUAGGCGACGAUCCCUAGCUGGUCUGAGAGGAUGACCAGCCACACUGGAACUGAGACACGGUCCAGACUCCUACGGGAGGCAGCAGUGGGGAAUAUUGCACAAUGGGCGCAAGCCUGAUGCAGCCAUGCCGCGUGUAUGAAGAAGGCCUUCGGGUUGUAAAGUACUUUCAGCGAGGAGGAAGGGAGUAAAGUUAAUACCUUUGCUCAUUGACGUUACCCGCAGAAGAAGCACCGGCUAACUCCGUG